ACCUGGGUGGCUCAGUCAGUUGAGCAUCUGAUUUCAGCUCAGGUUAUGAUCUCAUGGUUCGUGAGUUCAAGUCCCACAUUGGGCU
rnacentral:tRNA from 1 species